GUCCCUACGGGAGGCAGCAGUGGGGGAUAUUGCACAAUGGAGGAAACUCUGAUGCAGCGACGCCGCGUGAGGGAAGACGGUCUUCGGAUUGUAAACCUCUGUCUUUGGGGAAGAAAAUGACGGUACCCAAAGAGGAAGCUCCGGCUAACUACGUGCCAGCAGCCGCGGUAAUACGUAGGGAGCGAGCGUUGUCCGGAAUUACUGGGUGUAAAGGGAGCGUAGGCGGGCGAGAAAGUUGAAGGUUAAAUCUACCGGCUUAAAUGGUAGCGUGGUUCAAAACUUCUUGUCUUGGGUGAAGU
rnacentral:rRNA from 1 species